rnacentral:lncRNA from 1 species
AUGAAAAAUGACCACAGCCAUUUCUGAAGGAUGUCAGACAAAAGGAAGGCAAUGCUGGCGGAUGUUGUCUGGUUUCAUUAUUGUAACUACUUGGAAACAGCCUCAGAUCUGAUGCCUGGGUUUUGAGUCAAGGAGCAUUGCUUGGAGUUGCUUCUCGGAUAUGGCCAUUGUUACAGCAGUAACACAGCUUGAACAGGUAAAGGAGAGAAGAGAUGGACUCAACUGAAGAGAGUCCAUGAAAUGAGAUGUCUGAGGAGGUGGACAAAGAGAUACAGCGAAACCCAACAUACCUAAAGAUUACUUGGAGAAAGCUUUGAAGAGCCAUGCUGUUGAUCAGAUGUGGGACAUAAGGAGAAUAUUCCAGACAAAGCAGAGAAACAACAUGCCAACAUACAAUGAGGAGGCAGAGAGCAGCUAUGCGAGCUUUCUUUGGAGCAGUUCACACAUGCAGAGGAGCAGAAACAUGGAGGACUGUUUUUAAGAAAUGCCGAGACGCAGCAGAGGAAGCUGGCGUGGGGCGGCUUCUAGACUGGCGCCGGCUGAGGGUCCUUGUCUCCUACCCUUCUGUCAGCCAUCCAAUGGACUGUCCCUGUCAGCUCCUUGUCCCUGUUGGUCUUGGGACCUUCCAGUGCCACCUCUGAGAAGCUCUGAGUUACCUGGGAAAGUUCUAAGAUUUGCUCUGGGCUGCACCAGGAUGGGGGCCCAUUACUGCCUGGAGCUUCUUCAUAGCCUCCUCAUGUCUGAAGCAGGGAAUAUACAUUGUCUUAGACACCUCUUUUACUCUUCCUAACAUGCGGCUAUGACCUGACCUAAGCUUUAUAGCUCUUAA